rnacentral:rRNA from 1 species
CAUCCUACGGGGCGCAGCAGUGGGGAAUAUUGGGCAAUGGGCGCAAGCCUGACCCAGCAACGCCGCGUGAAGGAAGAAGGCUUUCGGGUUGUAAACUUCUUUUGACAGGGAAGAGCAGAAGACGGUACCUGUCGAAUAGGCCACGGCUAACUACGUGCCAGCAGCCGCGGUAAUACGUAGGUGGCAAGCGUUAUCCGGAUUUACUGGGUGUAAAGGGCGUGUAGGCGGGACUGCAAGUCAGAUGUGAAACGCAUGGGCUCAACCCAUGGCCUGCAUUUGAAACUGUAGUUCUUGAGUGAUGGAGG